rnacentral:rRNA from 1 species
UGGGCAACCUGCCCCUCUCUCUGGGAUAACCCCGGGAAACCGGAGCUAAUACCGGAUACUCCGGCUGGAUCGCAUGGUCCGGCCGGGAAAGGUCCGCCGGAGAGGGAUGGGCCCGCGGCCUAUCAGCUUGUUGGUGAGGUAAUGGCUCACCAAGGCGACGACGGGUAGCCGGCCUGAGAGGGCGAUCGAUUACACUGGGACUGAGACACGGCCCAGACUCCUACGGGAGGCA